CCUGGCGGCACUAGCGCGGUGGUCCCACCUGACCCCAUGCCGAACUCAGAAGUGAAACGCCGUAGCGCCGAUGGUA
rnacentral:rRNA from 6 species